CAGAUAUUUCAGAUUCAGAGAUAUUGGAAGUGUACCAAGAUUGUAUUCAUUUUUGGGAAAUCUUGUCAAAAGAUGCUGAAAGAAACAAAAGGCUACCAUGAGUGACCCUCUGAGUACUAAAACUUUGCUACAGAUCCGGUACUUUCUUCAUGAAGGAGCUCCACCAAGAGAGCUGGACUGGUCCUGAGAUGACAUCAACUUGGUAGAUGCCAAGUGCGGAGGAUGGAAGGGGAUAGUCAAAAAAGAGUUCAUGUUUGCUGAAGGUAGUGUAGGUCACGUAAAUGUCAUCAUUUUCUGAAAAUAUGUUUUCUAGCUUUGAAACCUUUCC